UAAAUUGUAAUUUAAGAAAAUAUUAUUAUUUACAUUAAUAAUUUAAUUGUGCAAUUCAAUUCAAUUUAA
rnacentral:tRNA from 2 species